GCACUCACUUCAGCAGUACAGAUACUAAAAUUGGAAUGAUACAGAGAUUAGCAUGGCCCCUGCACAAGGAUGGCACACAAAUCCAUGAAGCAUUCCUAAAUAAA
rfam:Canis lupus familiaris chromosome 34, whole genome shotgun sequence.